CCGAUUUCUACCGAUUUUUCGGAGCUAAAUAUACCGAUUUUUUAUUUUACACUUUUGCAACACUGCCUAACGGCAACACUGGUCUAAAACCAUGCCAUCGUUUACGGACGAGGCUACGUUUAUUAAGCUUGGUGUUUUUAACUUGUUUUUAAGGUACAUAAUGAACAUUGGUGGAGUCCGUGGAGCCAUUCUAAUCCAUACGUAAGGUGACAUGACGCUUAUCAACAUAGGCUUAGUGUUAACGUGUGGCUGGUGUUUUAAUUAACUGUCUGUCAGGUCCGUAUUUCAUUGCAAGAAGACUCGUGUGUGUCAUAUUUAGACAUUUUAAAUAAUGCUAUGAACGAUAUGCUCGAUGAUGUACCACUGAGUAAUCACCAAAACUUAUUUUUGCAACUAACUAUCAGACGAAAGCUCAGAGAUCGCUGGAUAGGGCGCAGAGAGCCUGUGCCAUGGCCAGCUCGGUCUCCAGAUCUCAUGCCACUGGACCUUCCCUACUAUUACAAUGUACUCUGUAACCAUGGAUAUCUCCAUAACCAUGGGGUUUCGAAGUGUUGCGGUGUUACCUUGUAUAGCUUCCCCUACACCCUCCGCCCUCCACACCCAAAAACCCAAAAAUUCGGUUUUUCCUACUCUUGAGCUUAGCCUGUAAACGUGCGGAACUGCGUAUCACACGAGAAGGAACUCACUUUGAACAUUUGUUAAGGUGUGCUGACUACAUACAAUCACUGCAUGCUAAGAAAACAUGUCUGCAAUGCAAUGCCAUCACCACCACACACCAUGUGAAACGAAUAUACAUGUGAAACAUAGUACUUAUAACUGAUGACUGUAAUACCUCUUUUAUAUGAUAUAGUACUUAUAACUCAGUUUAUGACUGUAAUACCUCUUUUAUAUGUUAUUUGUACAUACAGAGUGUAUACAAGCGAGAGGUAUUAAAUUAAAUCACAUACACUACAUACUGUUUGUAUCACAAAAACGAGUAAUUGAAAAUAAUUGUUAACUACAGGCUUAAAAAAAUUUGAUCUUGAUAAAUAAAAGUAUUAUAUCAGUGAUUAAUGAUUUGAAUAAGAUAUAAAAAUGUAGGUAUAUUGAUUAUUUAAAUAUAAAUUAUAAAUGGUAUAUAGAUACAUGGUAUGGUUGUAUACUAUACAUAAUUCAAUGCCUUUUGUGUAACAUUUUUUGUCAGCCAUAAUAUAACAAAUAUUGUUUGUAUAUGUAUUUUAUAAGAAAUGAUAAGAUGGCAUUUUACUCGAUCUUACACCUUGAUCUAUUUAUUAUUAAACACCUAAAGAUUAAGUGAAAUAUUAAAAAUGACGAAGAUGAAAAAAAACAAGUGUUAUGUAAAUUAUUGAAAGAUAAUUUUAGGUUUUGCGUAUUUUAAAAUAGUAUUUUUAGUCGCGUUAGCGCAACGGCCAAAGUACUCGACCCGGGGAGGGGGGGAGCAACUAUCGUACUUGUUCUCCCGGUAUAUCCGGCGAGUGGCUCGAGAAGGGCGGAGAAUAUGUUUGGCCCGAGAAGCGAAGAUGUUGGGCGGUGUUAUUUGUGUCUCGGGAGCAAAUAGCUCCGAUGCGGAGAUGAGGUCGAGGUCGCCAUUCGACUCUGACUCAUCGCGCUGUAGUGGGAGAUUCUGGAGGAAACGCUAGCGUGAAGUGGAUGACGGCACGUCUUAGGCGGACAGCGAUGACGCUGCCAGUAAGGUGUCCACCGCAUGGAUAGGUCCCGGCCGCCCAUCCACGACUUGGCAUUACAUUAGCCUCGCAAGGGCCCUAGAAAAAGAAUGUAGGGGUCCUGAGGUGAGCUCUCGCUAGCUUUACACCGGCGUCGGGAGGGCGAUGGCGAUGUGCGGUUUUCCCGUCUAGGCCGACGCCCUUGAUUGCGAAAACGUCGCUUUGUCUAAUAAACCUAAUCGACACAAAAGUUGUAAACAAAAACUUUUAUCUAAAACAGCAUGUUCACAAAUAAAAUCCUUUAGGGAUAUAAGUUUAAUUUAACCUUGGUAUCAUUAAAUACAAAAUAUUGUAAUGAAUGCAUCUAGACCUACGGUUAGAACAUAAAAUUAAUAAGAAACAUAAAUGAGUUUUAUUUAAUCUUGGUAUUAA
rnacentral:misc_RNA from 1 species